UAAAUUUCCCCUAUAAAUAGAUGAGUUUUGUUCAUUGUAUUGACAUUCUGAUGAUUUCUCAUCCCUCAAGAGAAAUAAAAAUCACUCUCUCUAUUCUGACUGAAAAAAAAAUAGCCUAUUGACUAGAUGGAGAAAAUCUUUCGCUAGUAAAUCAGCACAAGACUCUGCCAAACAAGGUGAGAUUAUAAAUCUGAAGGAUUUCAAGGUUAGUAACUCUUUAUGUUAUCUUUCUUUUGCUACUACUAAUAUAAUUAUUAUUAGAUUUGAGGAAAAAUAAAUGGGUUGGAACCAUUUAUAUUUUAAAUUUAUUCCUCAAGAACAAUAUUAUCAAAAAGGAUGAUAAUAUGUUGGGUUCAAGUGCCAUCGAUCCAUGCCUAAGACGCCUUUAUAUGGAUAAGAUGUUGAGUUUGAAUCUCAAUACACCAUAUUGAUGAUAUUAUGAUGGCUAAGGCAAAAUAAUGGGUAUUUGAUGAAAAGUCAUGAAAUUCAACCCAUUGAAUAUGCUCCAUUCCAUGAAGUGAAUGUGGUAGCAAUAUAUGAUAAGUCUAAAAUAUGACAACUUACUUCAUUCUUGAGGUGUAUGUGGUAGCAGUGCAUAAUAUGUCUGAAAGAAGACAAGUAAUUGAAUGCACGAAUAUAUGUGUGGAGGGACAACAUGCUAAUGAUCAUCAAAAGUGAUGAUAUUUUCACACGCUUAUAUGAUUAUAAGAUAUGCUAGAGAAAAAUUCUCUACACUAUAUGUAUGCCUCGAUUUGUUUCUGAAGUAGCAAAAUUUUGAGAGAGGUUAUAAGCUAUCAUAAUUUGAUAGAUGUAAGGCACGAUUAUAUUCCAUUCUU
rnacentral:lncRNA from 1 species